rnacentral:ncRNA from 1 species
UACCUGGUUGAUCCUGCCAGUAGUCAUAUGCUUGUCUCAAAGAUUAAGCCAUGCAAGUCUAAGUACGAGCUCUCGUACAGUGAAACUGCGAAUGGCUCAUUAAAUCAGUUAUGGUUCAUUUGAUCGUACAGUUUACUUGGAUAACUGUGGUAAUUCUAGAGCUAAUACAUGCGAGAAGCGCCGACCUCGCGGGAGGCGUGCAUUUAUCAGACCAAAAACCGGCCGCGUCUUCGGGCGCGUUCGCCUUGGUGACUCUGGAUAACUUUGCGGAUCGCACGGUCUAGCACCGGCGACGGAUCAUUCAAGUGUCUGCCCUAUCAACUUUCGUCGGUACGGUAUUUGCCUACCGAGGUUUGUACUGGACGUCCUGGCCUUCCCUCCGGUUCUCCGCCGGUGCUCUUGACUGAGUGUCGGCGGCGGCCGGAACGUUUACUUUGAAAAAAUUAGAGUGUUCAAAGCAGGCUCUCGAGCCUGGAUAAUGGUGCAUGGAAUAAUGGAAUAGGACCUCGGUUCUAUUUUGUUGGUUUUCGGAGCGCGAGGUAAUGAUUAAGAGGGACAGACGGGGGCAUUCGUACUGUGCCGUUAGAGGUGAAAUUCUUGGAUCGGCGCAAGACGAACGACUGCGAAAGCAUUUGCCAAGAAUGUUUUCUUUAAUCAAGAGCGAAAGUCAGAGGUUCGAAGACGAUCAGAUACCGUCCUAGUUCUGACUAUAAACGAUGCCAACUAGCGAUCGGGGGGCGUUACAUUGACGACCCCUCCGGCAGCUUACGGGAAACCAAAGUCUUUGGGUUCCGGGGGAAGUAUGGUUGCAAAGCUGAAACUUAAAGGAAUUGACGGAAGGGCACCACCAGGAGUGGAGCCUGCGGCUUAAUUUGACUCAACACGGGAAAUCUCACCCGGCCCGGACACAGUGAGGAUUGACAGAUUGAGA